UAGGGAAUCUUCCACAAUGGACGCAAGUCUGAUGGAGCAACGCCGCGUGAGUGAAGAAGGCUUCGGGUCGUAAAACUCUGUUAUUGAAGAAGAACGUGUGUGACAGUAACUGGUCAUGCAGUGACGGUAUUCAAUCAGAAAGUCACGGCUAACUACGUGCCAGCAGCCGCGGUAAUACGUAGGUGGCAAGCGUUGUCCGGAUUUAUUGGGCGUAAAGCGAGUGCAGGCGGUCUUUUAAGUCUGAUGUGAAAGCCUUCGGCUUAACCGAAGAAGGGCAUCGGAAACUGGGAGACUUGAGUGC
rnacentral:rRNA from 1 species